CUUCGGGUUCCUUCCGGCUCUGCGCUGGGGUUCCUCGGGCAGAGGGAAGGCGAAGAGACUACUGAGAGUCCUGGCUGACUUUGGAGGAGCUGGAUACCGUCGCGGGAGCUGGGUGAAGUGUGAGUGGGAGGAAGAGUAAGACAGAGGAUGGGAAUCAUAAGUUUAACAAUGAGAUAGCUUCUAGAAGUUGGAAAAGAAGAGACACCAGAUUCUCUCCUACAGCUUCCAGAAAAGAUUGCAGCCUUGCCAGCAUCUUGAUGAGCCCAGCGAGACUCAUUCAAACUUCUGACGUCCAGAACUCUAAGAUGCAGAAUUAGAAGACA